GCGAACUAAAUUAUUUGGACUAUAAUUUUGGAGUAAUAUUUUAUUUAGAGUGAAAUAAAAUAAUAUUCAAUUAAAUGGGAUAAGGUAAAAUAUCAAGUUAUGCGUGUGAGUAAAUUUAUGCUUGGUUUGAUUAAAAGUAAAAAAUUAUUUGAUAAAUUCACAUUUCCAGCUAAACAAUUUUUAAAUUUUAUUUCAAACUAACUUUUGAAAUAUCAAAUGUUAUAUUACGAAUCAAACGCC
rnacentral:lncRNA from 1 species